rnacentral:RNase_P_RNA from 1 species
GAGCCGGGGCGGACGGUCGCUGCGGCCCUGCCGCGAGGCGGGGCCGGGGAGGAAAGUCCGGACUCCGCAGGGCGGGAUGUCCCCUGGAAACGGGGGAGGCCCUUCGCGAUAUCGAAGGGUACGGAAAGCGCCACAGAAAAGAUACCGCCCUGAAGUGGUGCGAUGCACCUACUUCAGGGUAAGGGUGAAAUGGCGGUGUAAGAGACCACCGCCCCGGUGGAGACGCCGGGGGCAGGGCAAGCCCCAUCCGGAGCAAGAUCGCAUAGGGAGCGAGAGGCGGCCCGCCUCGUUCGUCCCGGGCAACCGGGGCGGUAAGCUCCGGGUUGAUCGCGCAGAUAAAUGACCGUACACCCCGCCGGCGACGGCGGGGGGACAGAAUCCGGCUUACAGCCCCGGCUCCAUG